rnacentral:lncRNA from 1 species
UUUUCUCACCAAAGCAUUAACUAUACGCGGCUAAAAUAAAGAGUAGGAAAUGUUAUCUUUUCAAUAAUAUUCAUGCCAAACAAAGUCAGGGUUCUGAUGCUAUCAAAGUCAAUGUCAAGUCAAUAACAGCAGUAUUAGACAUGUUAUCCAUAAAUCUUAACUUUCAUUUUCUUUUGAUUAUUGGGCAGUGUUAUCAAACAUCCUGAUUUGAAGGGGAAAACCCACAAAUACAGAAAUUUUAUGUAAAUUUUCUUUAUUUUUUUUAAUGUUGACACCUCAUUCAAUUUAAUUUUUUUUUUUAAGUAAUUUUAGGCUAUGGAGUAACUGGAGAAAUAGUACAAAGAGUUUCUGUACACUAUUCAUCCCUAAUGUUAACAUUUUAUUUAACCAUAAUACAGUUGCCAAACACAGGAUUUAAAAAUGGUUUAAGAGGUGUGCCUGUGGAUACAAAAUUAGGUACAAGACUAUAAACCAGGAGCUGGCAAGCUUUUUCUGUUAAAGACUAGAGAGUAACUCUCUUAGGUAUCUGCCAGUACUGUGUAGCUCUGUCCUUGUAGCACAAAAAUAGUCAUAGACCAUGUGUGGAAAAUGAGAGCAUGUCCAAACUUUAUUUCAGAAACAGGUGGCAGACCAGAUUAGGUCCAUGGGUUGUGCCAUGUGCCAACACCUGCCAUAAACUAAGGGAAAUAUCAGAAGCAAAAACCAUGAAGACAUUGAUGAUGAACUAGUAGCUGAAAAUACACUAUGGCAAAAUGUUCCCACCUCUUGCCAAAAUGAACACUGAAGAAAAAUGAAGAGCAGUGAAGAGCACCAACAAAAAGUUGCAGAACAGAAAUAGCCACACUCCUCUGGAGUCUGAUUCAUCCACAGCCAUCAUAAAAAAGGUAGGGUAAUAAAUUAUGUUACGUUUUUUUCCUUUUAAAAUUUUAAAUCAUGCAGUGGUAAGAAAAUUUAAAAAGUACCUUUUUUAUUCAGUAUAUAUUUACUGAGUGACUUCUACAUGUCUGCACAUUGUUCUAGGCACUUAGGGAUAUGAUAGUACACAAAAAAGGCAGGGGGACAGCUUUGAAAGAGCUGACAUUCUAGUGGGAGGAGGUAAGUAGAGUUGGACCUCCCUAUCCUCACGUUCAGCAUCCUUGUUAAACCUUUGGAUGGGGAAUCCAUGAAUACAGAGGGCUGACUUUCCUAUGUCAUUUUAUGCAAGAGACUUGAGCAGCCAUGGGUUUUGGUAUCCACAAGGGUCCUAAAACCAAUUGUCCCCAGAUACCAAGGAGUGAUUGUCAAUAAAUGCAAAAGAGGCUGGCAGCCAUUUAUGUUUAUGAACAUGAUAAACAGGUUAAUGAGGUAAAGAAUAAGUAAAGGGCAACUUCUGUUUCAGUAUAAAGAGAAGACCACUCAGAGAAUUCUGAGUGAUGGAAAAGAGCCCACAGGGUAAAAGCUUGAAGAUAGGAUCUUACAUGUGCUAUGAACCAGAAUCCAGGUGUUCAAGAGGGUAUUUGGAGAAGCAUGAUAUAGAGAGGAAGUUGCAUAGUCUUUAGACAUAGCCAAUUGUCUUGACUUUACUCCAGCAAAGACAGAAGCAUUUGGAGGGUUAAUAGUAAAGAAGUGAGUUUAUGUUAUAUUUGAAAAAGACUGUUAUUUAGGUAGGGGUAGGGCUCAGUCAUUGUGGAAAAUAGGACACUGUCCCCUAGGCAAAUGAGCAUGAUGAGUUGGCUUAGAGACCUGGCACUGAGAACAGAUGGAUUUAAAAUAGGUUUUGGAUGUCCUUCUGCCAGUUUAAACUAGAUGAUCACCAAUGUCCUUUGUGAAUUCCCAAACAGAAUUCUAAUUAUCAUAUGUAAGGUAUGCUGCUAUUUGAGUUUUAAUGUACAGUCAGUUUAGUUCAGUUCAGUCACUCAGUCAUGUUUGACUCUUAGCCACCUCGUGGACUGCAGCUCGCCAGGCCUCCCUGUCCAUCACCAGCUCCCACAGCUUGCUCAAACUCAUGUCCAUUGAGUCAGUAAUGCCAUCUAACCAUCUCAUCCUCUGUCUCUCCCUUCUCCUCCUGCCUUCAAUCUUUCCCAGCAUCAGGGUCUUUUCUAAUGAGUCAGUUCUUCGCAUCAGGUGACCAAAGUAAUGGAGUUUCAGCUUCAGCACCAAUCCUUCCAAUGAAUAUU